ACCUUCUUCUCUUGACUCUCCUCUUCUAUAGGAACAGUGUUGUGGUUCUUGUGGUCUUUCACAGUGCAGAUUGAACACACACAUGUCUGAUCAUCUCUACAGAACAGAUCCAGAGGUCUCUCGUGUUUCUGACAUAUAUAGUCCUCCAGAUUACUCACAGGAUCCAUCAGUUUGUGUUUCUUCAAACGUGUCACUCUCAAAUGAGGCUCCAGGUGAGUUUCACAGUAAGAGCUCUGACACACCAGACACGACUUCAGCGCUUUCAGCUUUCUUUCCUCACAGAAGUCACACAGAACUUCAGUUGUUUUCUCAGGACUUUUCUUCUUACAGUGAUCUACGAGCUCUCGGAGUGUGGUAUUAAUCUUGAGAUCAGGUCUUUGCUUGAAUGUUUCUUUACAGUUUGGACAGCUGCAGGUCUGGCUGUUGUCCCAGCACUUAUUCAGACAGAUCUUGCAGAAGUUGUGUCCACAUGGAGUCGAGACUGGAUCAGUGAACACAUCCAGACAUACAGAGCACUGAAUCUCCUCAGACAGUGAACUCAUGGAGGAUGACAUGACUGGA